AGAGUUUGAUCCUGGCUCAGGAUGAACGCUAGCGGGAGGCUUAAUACAUGCAAGUCGAGGGGUAACAGUGGAGCUUGCUCCAGCUGACGACCGGCGCACGGGUGAGUAACGCGUACGCAAUCUACCUUCAAGAGAGGGAUAGCCCUGGGAAACUGGGAUUAAUACCUCAUGGUAUCAUAAUACCGCCUGGUAUAAUGAUUAAAGUUCCGGCACUUGAAGAUGAGCGUGCGUCCUAUUAGCUAGUUGGUAAGGUAACGGCUUACCAAGGCGACGAUAGGUAGGGGGCGUGAGAGCGUGGCCCCCCACACGGGUACUGAGACACGGACCCGACUCCUACGGGAGGCAGCAGUAAGGAAUAUUGGACAAUGGGCGCAAGCCUGAUCCAGCUAUCCCGCGUGCAGGAUGACGGCCCUAUGGGUUGUAAACUGCUUUUAUAAGAGAAGAAACGAAUGUAUUUAUAUGUUCCUGACGGUACCUUAUGAAUAAGCACCGGCUAACUCCGUGCCAGCAGCCGCGGUAAUACGGAGGGUGCAAGCGUUAUCCGGAAUCACUGGGUUUAAAGGGUGCGUAGGUGGCAUAAUAAGUCAGAGGUGAAAGCCCGUCGCUUAACGAUGGAAAUGCCUUUGAUAC
rnacentral:rRNA from 1 species